CCACAGCCCCAGCAUCAUGAUUAGUGAUGAUGAACCAGGUUAUAACCUAGAUUUAUAUCAUAUACCUCAUCAUUACACUGAGGAUUUGCAAAAGGUUUUAUUCCUCAUGGACUGAUUGUGAACAGGACCAAACGACUUGCCUGAGAUGUGAUGAAGGAGAUAGGAGCCUCUCACAUUGUAGCCUUCUGUUUGUUCAAGGGGGGUUGUACUUUUUUUGCUGACCUGCUAGAUAACAUCAAAGCACCUGAAUAGAAAUAGUCAUAGAGCCAUUCCUAUGAUAGAGCCAAUACAGAGCAAGGAGCUACUGUAAUGACCAGUCAACAGGGGAUAUAAAGGUAAUUGGUGGCGAUGAUCCUUCAACUUUAACUAGAAAGAAUGUCUUGAUUUUUGAAGAUGUAAUUGACACUGGCAAAACAAUGCCAACCUUGCCUUCUGGGUCAAGUACUAUAAUCUAAAAAUGGUCAAGGUUUGCAAGCUCGCUAGUGAGAAAGCACCCUUCAGAGUGUUAGAAAUAGGCCAGACUUUGUUGGAUUUGAAAUUCCAGACAAACUUGUUGCAGGAUAUGCCCUUUUCUAU
rnacentral:lncRNA from 1 species